AGCUCCAAUAGCGUAUAUUAAAGUUGUUGCGGUUAAAAAGCUCGUAGUUGGAUUUCUGUGGAGGACGGCCGGUCCGCAUUUUGUGCGAGUAUCUGGUACGGCCUUUACAUCCUCUUGUGGAACGUUGCGGUGCUUCAUUGCAUUGCGCGGAAUGCAAGACUUUUACUUUGAGGAAAUUAGAGUGUUCACGGCAGGCAUGCGCCUUGAAUAUAUUAGCAUGGAAUAAUAAUAUAGGCUUUUCGCCCUAUUUUGUUGGUUUCUAGAGCGAAGAGAAUGGUUAAUAGGGAUAAUUGGGGGCACUCGUACUAGAGCGUCAGAGGUGGAAUUCUUAGAUUGCUCUAUGACGAACUACUGCGAAAGCAUUUGCCAAGGAUGUUUUCA
rnacentral:rRNA from 1 species